GGAUCCCAGAAGAGUUUUUAGCCAUCCGCGUGUAGACCACCGGUUUUGAUGAAUGAGGAGCUCCAGAAACUUUGGCUCAUCUCAUCUGUUGGUGUGACUGAGAAAUGAUGGCGUAUGUUCAACAUGUGGUGUGAAAAUGAGAAGAAUGAGUCAUUUGAUUAAAACAAACAAACAAACAAA